rnacentral:lncRNA from 1 species
AAACAGCGGUAUACUGUUGCCUUUAUUUUCCCUUUUUUUGUUUUUGCUUUAGGCAAUCCUGACACAUCGUAUUUAAAGGGUGAUAUUUUUAUUCUAAAAAAAACAAAUUGUAUCACAUUGAUAAAAGAAUAUUCCAAACAAAAAUAGGGACUCUUUCUGAAUCACAUGGUAAUGAAAAUCGAACUGAGACCUAUAAAUAUAAUUGUGUUUUAUGUAUUAAA